GGAGUUAGCCGGUGCUUCUUCUGUGAGUGAUGUCCUUCCUGCCGGCUAUUAACCCGCAGGCCUUCUUCCUCACUGAAAGUGCUUUACAACCCGAAGGCCUUCUUCACACACGCGGCAUGGCUGGAUCAGGGUUGCCCCCAUUGUCCAAUAUUCCCCACUGCUGCCUCCCGUAGGAGUCUGGGCCGUGUCUCAGUCCCAGUGUGGCUGAUCAUCCUCUCAGACCAGCUACGGAUCGUCGCCUUGGUGAGCCGUUACCUCACCAACCAGCUAAUCCGACAUAGGCUCAUCCGAUAGCGCGAGGCCCGAAGGUCCCCCGCUUUCCCCCGUAGGGCGUAUGCGGUAUUAGCCUGGGUUUCCCCAGGGUUAUCCCCCACUACCGGGCAGAUUCCUAUGCAUUACUCACCCGUCCGCCGCUCGCCACCAGGGAGCAAGCUCCCCGUGCUGCCGCUCGACUUGCAUGUGUUAGGCCUGCCGCCAGCGUUCAAUCUGAACACGAUCGAAUUCUAAGA
rnacentral:rRNA from 1 species